ACGCAUUUGACAUGUAUCUGGAAUUCUGUCGCUUUACACAGCACAUACAAUUUGUAUUCAAAGGACCGCUUGCAUCCGCCAAAGACAAAGAUCGUGCAGGAUGGCUAGGUAUCUGGAUCGGUAAACAUGGAUGAGAAGUGUACAAGACAUUUGAUUGGGAAUCCGGGGGUGAGGACAAACCCGACAAGAUUCUCGACAAAUUUGAGGCUUACAUCCGCCCAAGAAAAAACAAACGAACAGCCAGAUUCAAAGUAAAACCGAGGAAACAAGGUGAAAGUGGGUCAUUCGAUAACUUUGUUAAAGACUUAAGGCUUAUCAUUAUGGACUGCUAAUACACAGAUCCAGAAGAUGUCCUGAUAGAUUGUAUAAUAGCAGGAGUCAGACACAUGAAAGUACAGGAGAGACUAUUAGACCAAGGCAGUGACCUAACACUUGCAUAAGCUCUCAGCAUUGGUCGACAUUAUGAAAACGCGCAGAAACAGCUAAAACUCAUUCGAGGAAGUGACGAUCAAACAGUUACCCAUCAGAUCUCACAAGUACAUGCCACAUAGAAGAAAUUCUACCAGCAUAAAACCAGUAAUAAUAUGAAGAAACACAAAAGGCAGCCUUACACGUCUAGAAACAAGAGCAAAAAAUGUAGCAGAUGUGGGCUCUACCCGACAGAAAUCAGGCCAGUGUCCGGCAAUAGGAACAAGAUGCAACUACUGUUACAACAAGGACCAUUGGACAGCCGCAUGCCAAAAACGUACGAGAAGUUAACACACUACAGGAGACAGUUAGUGAGACAAACAGUGAAACUAAUUCACCAGAUGAAGACAUACUUCAUAUAUACAGUGCACAAGAUGACAGUUCUAUGGCAAAUGACAAGUGGGUUGUAAAAGCAACUAUCAACAGUAAACCUGUAAGAUUUCGAAUAGACACUGGGACCAAGUCUUCGAUCAUUGUAAAAUCAGUGUUUGACUCUCUAGGAUCUUGCGCACAGACUCGCAAGAGCACAAAAGUUCUCAAGUCUUACACUAAUCAUAGGAUCAAGCCUCUGUACAGCGUUAACCUUCGAAUCGAACAUAAGGGAAGACGAGUGAAUGUGCAAUUUGAAAUUAUAAAAUUAGAACAGGAAAACAUCAUCAGUGGAGAUGUAGCAGAAGAACUCAAUCUUAUUGAAAGAAUACUGAAACUUGAUGACAAGGUUGAUCAACCGCCAGAAUCCAAGUUUAAAGACUUUCCUGAACUUAUAAAAACCUCAGUAACUCUCCCUGGAUAACACAACAUUGUAAUAAAUCCAGACUCAUUGGGACUUAUUCACGCGACGUGCUUUGUGCUAAAUUUAGUUGAAAUCUGCCCAGUGGUUCUUGGGAAGAAGAUGAAAAUGUGAAAAAAUUACGACAAUGACAGACAGCGGACAAUUUGUGAUCAGAAAAGCCCACUUGAGCAUUUGGCUCAGUUGAGGUAAAAAACUGACGAAUAAUUAUGUUAACCGGGAAGUCCUCUACUGAAAUUUUAAUUUUUAUGUCCCCUCAAGGAUGGGUUUUGACUCUAGGGCAGGGCCAAAUGGUUGUAUAGGUGUUUAUUCAUAUAGUGUUAAAAAAUUAUCUUCUUUACUCCCACACAACUGAAAGGAAAACUGAAUUCAUGAUUUUGUAGACCAGAUCUUUUAGUUUUUUCGCCAAAAUUAUAGGUUUCACAGUUCUUUUUGAAAGAUUUCAGGCAGGGAGGUGGUCGUCAGUACAAUUUUUUAAUUUUUCUACUCUACGAUGAGACGUAACUAAUUAGAUGCAUAUAUGGGACUCCACAAGUUUGUGUAUGGGUUAUAUGCUACUCAGGUGACCGUGAAGGCCAAUUGGCUUCUUGUUAAAGCUUUAUAAUUACUGACAAAUUAUCGUGUGUCUAGAAAGUUUUAGUUUUAGGACUCUUAGGUUUGUUUUUAAAACGGUGAAUUUAAAAUACUAGUCAAACUUAAUGAGUGUGGUACAUGCAUUACACAACAAUAAAGUAUAUUCA
rnacentral:misc_RNA from 1 species